AAAAGAAAAGGGGGUGAGAUCUGAGAAGAGGAAGCCGUAGAGAGGGAAAGAGAGGGAACGGCCGGCGGAGAGAAGAGAGGGAGUGGAUCCGUAGGUGUUCAACCGGUGGUGAAAAGGAGAAGAAAGGAGAGAGCUUGACGCCGGCAACGGAAGGCGAAGUGAUUCGCCGGGCGAGAGAGAAAUCCGAGAAGAGAGGGGAGGACGCCGGCGCCGGCGAAGAGAGAAGAAAAAGAUUUUUAGAGAGAAGUUGGAGAGGGUGCGGUUAGAGAGAGAAAAG
rnacentral:lncRNA from 1 species